rnacentral:rRNA from 1 species
AUGCAUCAUGUGAGAAAACCAACAAGAGGAGGAGACCAUGUAGCUAGGGGAGGAGCCUGGUCUCAAGCUGAAUUGUAUGGACCAUUUCAUUUCUUGUUGAGGUCGACCCCGGCCUUGUUGGCGACGGCGUCGAGGCCGUGCUUCUCGAUGGUCUUGAGGGCCUUGGUGGAGAGCCUGAGCUUGACGUUGACAAACUGCUGCUUCUUGGUCUUGUGGUUGGAGAAGGACACCUUGUUGGCCCGGUUCGUCUUCUUCUCCAAGAAGGGGCAGAUCCGGCCUGAAGAACCAUGA